ACCUGGACGGUUCAUUCGCUAGAGCAUGAGACUCUCAAUCUCUGGGUUGUGGGUUUGAGUCCCACACUGGGUG
rnacentral:tRNA from 1 species